GCCUGUAAUCCCAGCACUUUGGGAGGCCCAGGUUGGAGGAUCAUUUGAGCCCAGGAAUUGGAAAGCAGCCUGGCCAACAUAGUGGGACCCUGUCUCUACAAAAAAAAAAUUUGCCAAGAGCCUGAGUGACAGAGCAAGACCCCAUCUCAAAAAAAAAAACAAACAAACAAAAAAAAAACCAUAUAUAUACAUAUAUAUAUAGCAGCUUUAUGGAGAUAUAAUUCUUAUGCCAUAUAAUUCACCUUCUUUUUUUUUUUUUGUCUGAGACAGAAUCUCAGUCUGUCACCCAGGUUGGAGUGCAGUGGCGUGAUCUCAGCUCACUGCAACCUCCACCUCGCAGGUUCAAGCAAUCCUCCCACUUCAGCCUCCCAAGCACCUGGGAUUACAAGCAUGAGUCACUACGCCUGGCUGAUUUUUGUAGUUUUAGUGGAGAUGGGGUUUCACCAUGUUGGCCAGGCUUGUCUCGAACUCCUGACCCCAAGUUAUCCACCUGCCUUGGCUUCCCAAAGUCCUGGGAUUACAGGUGUGAGCCACCACAUCCAGCCUAACUUACAUUCUUAAAGUGUCGAAUGACUUCUAGUGUAGAAUUGUGCAACCAUCACCAGAAUUAAUUUUAUUAUUCUUAUUAUUUUUGAGACAGAGUCUUACUCUGUUGCCAGGCUGGAGUGCAGUGGCGCGAUCUCAGCUCACUACAACCUCCGCCUCCCAUGUUCAAGCGAUUCUCCUGCCUCAGCCUCCCGAGUAGCUGGGACUAUAGGCAUGCGCCACCAUGGCCAGCUAAUUUUUGUAUUUUUAGUAGAGACGAGGUUUCACUGUGUUGGCCAGGAUGGUCUCCAUCUCUUGACCUCGUGAUCCACCCGCCUCAGCCUCCCAAAGUGCUGGGAUUAACAGGUAUGAACCACCGCGCCCAGCCUUUUUGUUUUUUUUUUUUUUGAGACAGAGUCUUCCUCUGUCUCCUAAGCUGGAGUGCAGUGGCAUCAUCUCAGCUCACUGCAACCUCUGCCUCCCAGGUUCAAGUGCUUCUCCAGCCUCAGCCUCCCAAGUAGCUGAGACUACAGGCACACACCACCACGCCUGGCUAAUUUUUGUAUUUUUAGUAGAGACGGGUUUCACCAUGUUGGCUAGACUAGUCUCAAACUCCUGACCUCAAGUGAUCUGCCCGCCUCGACCUCUCUCAAAGUGCUGGCAUUACAGGUGUGAGCCACGGUGCCCGGCCCACAAUUAAUUUUAGAACAUUUUCAUCACCCCUAAAAGAAACCCUGCACCCAUUAGCAGUCCCUCCACAUUUCCCCCUAGCCUGCCUCCCCUGCCUCACCAGCCCUGGCAACUGCUAAUCUACUUUCUGUGUCUAUGGAUUUGCCUUCUCUAAACAUUUCAUAUAAAUGGAAUUACACAAUGAG
rnacentral:lncRNA from 1 species